ensembl:lncRNA
UAACAAGCAGAAAUAAAAUACAGGAGAGCAGGACAGAGAGCAGCAAUGCAGAAAAGAAUCCAAGAGACAGCAGGUAACAAAUUAAAUAUAAGUGAAAUGUGAGGCUAUUAGGGGAAAAUGCCACAGCUAUUUUGGAGUGCAUUCCUCAUGAGGAGAGAAAAGCAAUAAUUCACAUUCCCAUAGCCUUUCUGUGAUUAUAACUAGAGUAUUGUGUUCAUUGGGGGAGAACCACAAGGAAUUAAUGAUGCUGAUAAACUGGAGGUGUCCAAGUAAGAGGUACCUGUAUACUUUCUCUGUUAACAGGGUCCUUGGAAGUCACUGUGGUUUACCAGUGAUCUAUGAUGGCCCAAAGAGACUUAAAAGGAUGCUGCGAUGCCAGGGAGACUUUUGAGAGGGAAGAUUCAUUUAGCAUCUGGACAGCAACUCUUCCAAGAAGAGAAGUUGGACACCGGGAGCAGCUGAAUUAUUCUGUGUAUGAGGAAGCUUAUUUGGGAGACAUCACCUACUGCUCCCUCUGUAUGUGAGUGUGUGGGAAUUAUUUAGAGUUUGAAUACUUUUAAAAUCUCAACUUUU